AGUGAACAGAGGGAGCAAACAGGGCAGAUUGCAAGCAGUUCACUGGGAGAAAGAGGGGGACAGGGAAGAGGAAGAGAAGCCAGGCACGAGGCUCCAGAUCCUGCUAUGGGAAAAAAUCAUACAAUGUCUGACUGCCUCUGAAGUAUGGUCUUGAGGAGCCUUGGGAAAAUUGUGCAGAAGGCCAUAUUAUUAUACCCCUAUUUAUGUUGACAAGUGUCACGCUGCUCAGGAAAACAAACAAAACCAAUGAAACGGAAGAUGUCUGGUCCAAUGGAUUAGAUUUAUUUACUAUUUUAUGACAACGGACAUCAAAAGCUUUGAAGCAUGACUGGGAUAUGAAGAAUGACAUCACAUGGAGAUUAAAGCAUCUGGGAAAGCAGCAAUUCCCUUUCUACCCCACAACCCCCCCAUGCUAAUAGGAAUGUGGCAAUCAUCUGUUCAAGUUGAAUUGCUGACAUGGUUCUACAGGAGAGAAGCACUGUCUGAAGCAAAGUCUUCAAUUCAGCAGAGAUUCUCACUUAGGUUUAUCUUUCAUUUCAGUGCUUUUCCUACCCACUCAUUUCCCAGUAUGUGAACUACUUACAGGAAAGGAGUAGUGGCACAACAGAGGUGUCAGAAGAAAUUCAGACAAGCAGACACAUUUUUGGCUGAACACAUAAUAGUACUUAGCAGCAUACUUCAAGAAGAGGGACAUUAAUCAUUGUGAGAUCAGAGAAUCCUUCUUUCACCAAGAGAAUAGGGACUUCAGAAAUAAUAAUGAAAAUAAAUAAAUAAAGCAGGGAGAAAGGAAUAGUUCCAACAUCACAACAUAUUUUUGAUGACUCUGCUUCAGAUUCUCAGCAAUUUUUGCCCCAAUGCUUGCUUUACUGUACUGAUAAUAACUCGUUUUAGCUGGCAACCUUAAUAUGAAGAACCACACGAGUGACACUACAGUGUGUAGCAGCAUUGUGUAAUAGAAUUGAUGUGGUGACCUGUGUGUUGAGUGCACCCACAUACCCAACCACUUGUCAAGGAAUAAAAACUUUUUG